rnacentral:lncRNA from 1 species
UGUCAUAUUUUUCUACUUUCUUCAUUCAAUUUGCUUUUUUGCUUUGGGACAGAAAAUCCCGCAUGCAGUGUGGUCCAGGUUAUACCGAACCAUGGAUGUCUCAUGCAGAGCAGUAUCUUAUUGCACACAUGACUUACUCAUGUUGCAAAAGUAGGGCAGCAGAAGGUGCUUGGGGAGAAACCAAAGAAGCAGGACAAGUACAGAGUGAUUCUUCCAGCUUCUGACACUCGGCAGUUUUGGGACUCCCUGUGCUGAAGUUGCAUCUCAAGCAUUGUUUUUAUGAACCACUGAGUGAGGAAGCAACAAUAGGAACAAUGGAUCACUGUUCAGCAUCAGUGGCAACUGCACUUAGAAAUAAGUAACAGUGCCACUUCAAAAUGCUUGACAUGGACAACAGAGACAGAAGAGCCAGGAAAUUAUGGUAGUGCUAAAGCCACACCCACGGCCAGAGGCAGCAUCUCACAGCUCCUCUAAGUUGUGAACGCCUUGGGAGCUGAGAGUCCCUACCAUGCAGAGAGGUAGGAGCCAAGCUCAUCAUUAUAUAAUGCAGCAACUUCUACCCAUGUGCUUC